rnacentral:rRNA from 1 species
GUAGGUGGCAAGCGUUGUCCGGAAUUAUUGGGCGUAAAGCGCGCGCAGGCGGUCCUUUAAGUCUGAUGUGAAAGCCCACGGCUCAACCGUGGAGGGUCAUUGGAAACUGGGGGACUUGAGUACAGAAGAGGAAAGCGGAAUUCCAAGUGUAGCGGUGAAAUGCGUAGAGAUUUGGAGGAACACCAGUGGCGAAGGCGGCUUUCUGGUCUGUAACUGACGCUGAGGCGCGAAAGCGUGGGGAGCAAACAGGAUUAGAUACCCUGGUAGUCCACGCCGUAAACGAUGAGUGCUAAGUGUUAGGGGGUUUCCCGCCCCCUUAGUGCUGCAGCUAACGCAUUAAGCACUCCGCCUGGGGAGUACGGCCGCUAGGCUG